GAGAGGGAGAUGCUAUAACGAAGAAAAAAAAAAAGGAAAAAGGAAAUAAAACCGGAUGGGAAUUGGCGACAUUCGCGCUGAAAUAGCGCGGCUGACAGCGGGACCUAAGGUACCUUCAACUGCUAACCGCCGCCGGCGCUGGAACAGCACACCGCUUGAGGGCCUCUACUAACUCAGAGUUUUGCAAGAUACAUGUGGUCACCUGAGGAGGAGUUCCCCUGCCAUAAGAUUCUUGCAAAACUGCAUAAUGCCACCAGGGUUCGAUGAAGGACGGCUAGGAGUGCUUCGACUCGUUAGGUGCCACAAUUGUCGUUUGGAUUAAAGCCGGCGCUUGGAAAUUAUCAUCGCACUGGAUUCAUACGGG